CCUCUUUCCCUGUACCUCAUGAGAUACCCAUCCUUUGAUGGACGGGCUUCCCCCCACUGUUGGGUGCCAUUUCCGAGGUACAGAAAAAGGGACAUGUGCAAUGAUGCUGAGCCCAUAAAACUGGCCUGCUGGGAGUGCGUAGCGAGCAUCCUGACAGACUUCCCAGGAGAGCCACUUCCAAAAAGGGAUGAUCCCAGUCAAACCCGGAUAGCAACCCUACGCUCCUCACUCCCCCGGUCCACUGCACUCUGCUACCCUCCUUCAGCCCCCAUGGGAAUGUGCUUCCCCGCACCCAACUGGAGCCUGCCUGGGGUUGCACUCCCCCAUACCUCAGAGAGGUGCUACUAGCCUUCCCCUGCCUCAGGAGCCAGGCAACGUGACAGGAACAUGGAGGUGGACUCAUCCAUCCUGAUUAAAAAACAGCUUAAUCCCUCAAAUACUGCGGAUUCUCCAUCUCAUAAGCGCCUCUAUUUCCCACGCAGGAAUGAUGUACAGUCUGCCUUGAAAUAAUCUGUGCAAGGAAUUAUGGGGCUAUAGAACAUUGGGUGAUGGAGACAUUUAUAUCAACGAGUAUCAGCUAAUCAAUGGGAGCUCAUCCUUAGGUCUCCUUAGUGAUGGAAAAUCGGCUGGAUUCCAAACUCCCUUCAAUAGGAACGCGGCUUGAUGCUCUGCAGAUUGCAAGGCGCCAAAGUCACAUCUUUAAUAACUGCUGUUUUAUCGAUUUAAUUUUAAAAGAAACCUUAAUAUCCUGUCUGCGUCCUGGAGUUUAACGACAAAGACCCAUUGUUGUUUGGGAACGGGCUGGGCGAGUGAGUUCAUACUGGAGAUAAGGCGCUUGCCUGGGGCUAGUGUCUAAUAACUGAAUCAUGGGUCGGAGUACAGAAGAAUGUGGACAGGGUGUAUUCGUUGAGUCAGGGAUUACGGUGCCCAUGCUGACUGGUGGACAUUGUUCCAGCAGAGGACGACAAUGUGCUUUCAUUUCAUGCUCUGUAUUAUCUGCUGAGAUUCAGCAAGUGCAUCCGGCCGAGGGGGACGUGGGCUAAUCAGCUCUUGGCUCUGUGAGGG